rnacentral:lncRNA from 1 species
GUGUGCUCUGAACACCUGCUAGUCGCCAAACCUAGGGCCCUGGUGGGGCUUUUCAGAGGGCCCUUCCCCAUCAUCAAAACCAGGGCUGGUGCCAAGUGCUCUGGUUUUGGAGCCUAGGUCCCCACGGCCUAGCUCCAGCCAGUCACCACGCCAAGUCCACCCAAGGCAGUCCCUGCAAGGAGAGGGAACUGUCCCAUGUUGGACCUGAGCUUCCCAGGGUCAUCCAGAUCAAAAGGCAUUCGCCCCUCACCUGGCCAGUGGUGUCGUAACAUCAGUUAGGUGUGCCACACCCAAGUCAAAUUUCUGCAACGUCUUCCCAUAGUCUUAGAAUAAACCCCGCCCGCAGCCCGUAGAUAGCAAGCCAUCAUUUUUGACCAGGUAGGCGCAGCAGGCAGGAAGACGGAUGAGAGCAGGUGACUUGAGGCUAUAUUUGCGCAGCAUGCCCUGUUUUUACUGGGAGUGUAUGUUUCCUUGGGCGGCUGGCAUUCGUGGGAGAGGCAGAAACUCGUGGCGAUUGUUGGGGGAGGGGCCAGACACCUGCUGCCCCCACCCGCGCUCCCAUCCCCUUUCACUCCUCUCGGUGAACCUCCAUCCCCAGGGCCUUCCCUCUCCUCAGCCGGAGCUUCUCUCGGCCAUCAAGCCUCAAACCUGGCAUCCCCUUGGGCUCUUCAAGGACCCUCUAAAUUAGAUAAAUUAGAACCCCUGUUGCCAGAUGGGCCCUUCCUUCCAACCAACACCUCAUGUAUGUGAGUCAGCUUUUUCUUUUUUUCUUUUUUUCCAGCCACAUUCGAGUCAUACGGAAGUUCCCUGGCCAGGGAUGGAGUCAGAACCACAGCUGUGACCUACACCACAGCUGCAGCAACACUGGAUCCUUAACCCACUGCACCGCAGCUGGAACUCCAUGUGAGUCAGCUUUCGAUCUGUGUGAUGAUUCGUCUCUCUUCCCCAGCAAACUGGGAACUCUGGAGACAGGUCCAGAUGGCAAACCACAGACAGCUUUCUGCCUGGUUUCUCUGGUGGAACAGGAUCAGAGAAUGAAGGAAAUGCAAUUAACAGGUAAGCUCACCUUUUUCUUCUUUUAA